rnacentral:tRNA from 1 species
GGGGACGUCGUCUAGCUAGGCAGGACAGCAGGCUCCAGACCUGUUGGUCGUGGGUUCAAGUCCCACCGUCCCCA